UUUAAGACUAUACUUCACAGGAUCAUUUCUGUAGUCAGUCUUCACAUACUUUCACAUUAGAUGAAAGCUAAGCACACCCGCGUUGAUGAGGUGAAUCGUUCUAUUCGGCAGCGUGAGGAUUUGUCCAGCGGCCUUUGUGGUGUGGCGCUUCGGUGUCCGCAUCCUCCGGGUCGUCGGGCUUCGAUGAUCGCUCGGUAACACGAAUAGAGCGAAUUCUGAGUGGUGCUCCUUUUUCUUGAAUAAAUUUGAAAUCGUAACUAUAGAAGAAACUAUAUAUACUCUUUGAUCGCAAAAUGCUGUGUGGCAACAUUGUGUCUCAACAUGGCCUAGCUACAAAUUAAAACUGAAUGCUUUGUGAUGAUGCUAUGCUUUUGAGAAUACACAGCCUCUGUGUGGUAUGAUGUGGUUGAAUUGUUCCGCCCGUGCAUUCUUGGAGAGUGCAUUAAAAGUUUGGCUGCCAGGAGAAAUGCGUCCUGCGUCAGGGGAGGCAACUCCGCUAACAACGUAUUAUUGGCAAUAUUUUAUAAGCUUGCCAAGACCGACCCCCUUGGAGUACCGACUACUGCCCCCCUGGUCCUUUGAAAAAUUGGCAUGUCGUUGUAACUUUGCCAGUCUCCCUAUGAAGUAAAAAAUAAAAUCUCUUGGCACAUAAGUUUUGUGCACGUUAAGUACUUUUUCAUAA